GCACUUCUCUAUCUCUGACGGCGUUCUACCAAAGCUCUGUCUCUAAGGCUCCUCUGAAUCUCUCAUCUUUGAAUUUCUCAUCUCUGUGAGCCUUAUUCGUUGCUCUUCCAAUUAUUGAAAUUUUUGGAUUCGAUACAGCUCGAUUGAUCAAAGCACCAACCAUCGCAUUCUUUGCUCUGCUAAGCAACAGGUCAAUUGCACUGCACUUGACAAAGUUUAAAGUUUCUGUUUGGGAUUUCACUCUUUGAUAGGCCUGUGUGGCAACAAUUCAUUAUUUGCUCUUCUGGGUUGUUCUUUGGUUACCUUGUCAAUUGCGUCUGAAAUAAGACAUUUAUAUUUGUUUUUGAAUUGUUGAGAGCACAGGGAUCGCUAAGUUGGUUUUUGUCAUCUCCAGGUGAGACUUAUCAUGCCUAAAUAAAAUAUGAUUACUAGUAUUGUUGUACAUGAACCCUAGAUGCAUUCCCGGCAUGUGCAUAGGCUAGCGUAGAUGUGA
rnacentral:lncRNA from 1 species